rnacentral:rRNA from 1 species
GCUUGUAGGCGGUCUGUCGCGUCUGCUGUGAAAGACCGGGGCUUAACUCCGGUUCUGCAGUGGGUACGGGCAGACUAGAGUGUGGUAGGGGAGACUGGAAUUCCUGGUGUAGCGGUGAAAUGCGCAGAUAUCAGGAGGAACACCGAUGGCGAAGGCAGGUCUCUGGGCCAUUACUGACGCUGAGAAGCGAAAGCAUGGGGAGCGAACAGGAUUAGAUACCCUGGUAGUCCAUGCCGUAAACGUUGGGCGCUAGGUGUGGGACUCAUUCCACGAGUUCCGUGCCGCAGCUAACGCAUUAAGCGCCCCGCCUGGGGAGUACGGCCGCAAGGCUAAAACUCAAAGGAAUUGACGGGGGCCCGCACAAGCGGCGGAGCAUGCGGAUUAAUUCGAUGCAACGCGAAGAACCUUACCAAGGCUUGGCAUACACCGGAAUCAUGCAGAGAUGUGUGCGUCUUCGGACUGGUGUACAGGUGGUGCAUGGUUGUCGUCAGCUCGUGUCGUGAGAUGUCGGGUUAAGUCCCGCAACGAGCGCAACCCUCGUUCCAUGUUGCCAGCACGUCAAGGUGGGGACUCAUGGGAGACUGCCGGGGUCAACUCGGAGGAAGGUGGGGAUGACGUCAAAUCAUCAUGCCCCUUAUGUCUUGGGCUUCACGCAUGCUACAAUGGCCGGUACAGAGGGUUGCGAAACCGUGAGGUGGAGCUAAUCCCAAAAAACCGGUCUCAGUUCGGAUUGGGGUCUGCAACUCGACCCCAUGAAGUCGGAGUCGCUAGUAAUCGCA